GUGGGGAAUAUUGGACAAUGGGCGAAAGCCUGAUCCAGCCAUGCCGCGUGUGUGAAGAAGGUCUUCGGAUUGUAAAGCACUUUAAGUUGGGAGGAAGGGCAGUAAGUUAAUACCUUGCUGUUUUGACGUUACCGACAGAAUAAGCACCGGCUAACUUCGUGCCAGCAGCCGCGGUAAUACGAAGGAUGCAAGCGUUAAUCGGAAUUACUGGGCGUAAAGCGCGCGUAGGUGGUUGUGUAAGUUGGAGGUGAAAUCCCCGGGCUCAACCUGGGAACUGCCUCCAAAACUGCAUGACUAGAGUACGGUAGAGGGUAGUGGAAUUUCCUGUGUAGCGGUGAAAUGCGUAGAUAUAGGAAGGAACACCAGUGGCGAAGGCGACUACCUGGACUGAUACUGACACUGAGGUGCGAAAGCGUGGGGAGCAAACAGGAUUAGAUACCCCGGUAGUCC
rnacentral:rRNA from 1 species